UGGGGAAUAUUGGACAAUGGGCGAAAGCCUGAUCCAGCAAUGCCGCGUGAGUGAUGAAGGCCCUAGGGUUGUAAAGCUCUUUUACCCGGGAUGAUAAUGACAGUACCGGGAGAAUAAGCUCCGGCUAACUCCGUGCCAGCAGCCGCGGUAAUACGGAGGGAGCUAGCGUUGUUCGGAAAUACUGGGCGUAAAGCGCACGUAGGCGGCUUUCCAAGUCAGGGGUGAAAUCCCGGGGCUCAACCCCGGAACUGCCCUUGAAACUGGAUCGCUAGAAUCCUGGAGAGGCGAGUGGAAUUCCGAGUGUAGAGGUGAAAUUCGUAGAUAUUCGGAAGAACACCAGUGGCGAAGGCGACUCGCUGGACAGGUAUUGACGCUGAGGUGCGAAAGCGUGGGGAGCAAACAGGAUUAGAUACCCCCGUAGUCC
rnacentral:rRNA from 1 species